UGAGACACUAAUAGUAUUUCCCCAGCAUACCCUUAAAAUAAUCUGGGCUUCUUGGGAAUGGUGAGUGUUAGUUGGUUGUUUAAGUUUCACAUGAAGUUUGAAGUGACAAUGAAUCUCCUCAGCUUUCUCCUCUGACAGAGGCCAUCAAGUCAACUUUUGGCUCUGACAAGAAUGCUAAACCUGGGAAUCAGGAAAAGAAUCCGAAGACUGGGGCUUCUUCAUGUUAAAAUCGUUUGUUUAUUCAUUCAUUCUUCUUUCUUGGAAUAUUGUUGUGUAAUUAUGUGCUGCUUAAAAUUGGAGAAGCCAUGCUGUGACUUGGAUAAUAGCUCUGGACAACUGUGGAUGACGAAGUAGAGACACUGGGACUUGGGUCUUUGAUGACAUUGAACCACCAAGGCAAACCUGGGGCCAUCUGUCACCUGACUGUCAUCUGUCACCUGCCAUCUGUCACCUGCCUAUUAAGGAAAUAAACUUCCUUCAGUGUGAGCCACAGCAGGUCCUGACUGUGUGUUGAGAGCAUAGGGUUGAGUUCCUGAGAAGAGCUCUCUCUCCUUCACAAAGAGCCUGCCGACUUCAGAAGGGCUGAUUCACAGAGUGACUUAUGGUGGCUACGGAGAGUCCCUAGGGGAAGGCAUUGAUCACCAGUGGCUGUUCUGCUAAACUUUCCAAAUGUUCUAGAUGUUCCACCUGCAAGAGAUCAACUACCGAAGAGCUCAACAGGAAUGAAGAAACCAGCUACAUGUUUUUCAGUCAGGAGCUUAAAUUGUUUUUCUUUUCAAGCACUAUCUCAAGCCUGUGACCACAGAAAGCAUUCCACAAUAAAAAAUCACUUUUCAAGCAACCAUUCAGAAAUUUCC